AGUAUUGAUUCGACGCCAUGCGUUUCAUUCGCCCAAGCGUUUGCUCAUUUCCAGACGAUUCGCUUCUACGAUAAGAAAACAAGAAAUUAAUUCGCCGGUUGCCGUGCUCCCCAAAGGAGUUCACAUCCUGAAGCCAUUCGUUCUGCAAAGAUGGUUCUAGCUAUGAAUAAAAAGAUCACAGGAAAGGCACUUUACAAGCUUUUAUGGGGCCACAGAAGCAACCAAGCUUUCCAUCCAGAUCGAAAAGUACGACAAGGUAUUUAACGUUCAUUAAAUCUCCACACUAAGAUAAAUAUCGAGAAGUAAACUCUUCACACUCGUAUAAUUAAACAUGUACUUUUAAUUUUAUUUUCAGUUACUUUGGUGCAGAGCAACAUGGAAAAAUUAAGGAAGUAAUGUAUAAGCUAGCUAAUAUAGAAAUAGAGUUGAUUAAUGUUAAUAUUAUCAAUGGUUAACGUUAUAUUAUAAUAAUAAAAUACUUUUUAUUAAUUGCGGUUUGCAAUUGAUGCAUGUUACUUACGUGUAGAUUUUUAUGUAAUCUUCAAGUAGUUAGGGAACUACUUUAGGUACGAAACAAAAUUUAUUAGUACAAGUACUUUUUCAUUUAGUAUAAUAACAUGUAUUGUAAUUUUUGUAAUAUAUAUUUUUAAUGUCACCUAUAAUACGUGCAUACAAAUAGAAUGUAAGUAGCAAUAUGUAUAGAACUUCAUUUGGUUUAUGUUAAGAUUAGGUUUGAUUAGAUGUUAGAAUGUAUUGUUGUUAAAUGACGCACGCUUAAUUAGGUACGUCUAUAGUUUUAUGAAAAAUUGUUUUUAGUUAGGGGUGUAAGUGGCUCUUCCUGGACCUCUUGAGCCAAAGUCAACCUCUCCUGCCCGCGGCGCACCCUGCCGACUAGCGAACGAGGCUCUGGCGGAGACGCGGCGGACUCAGCUCCGCGUGUCACUCGUGCUCAACAAUAACAACAAGCCGAGUGCACCAUCGCGUCUCUAGUUUAUUAGUUAUUUUUUAUAGGUUAAGUUUAUAUCCAGAUCAUACGAACGACGAAUAAUACUUCAAUUAUACUUACUAGUUUUAAGUCAUAUAUAAUCUCAUAUUUAUUAGAUACUAAAAUAAGCAUUGUGUAUCAAUGUUAGUGUAGGUUUUUUCUCAAUUUUGAGAUUAUAGUAUAUUAUUAAAGUAGACAUCUUGAUACGGCUCUUGAUGUGAACUAUGUCAUAAUCUACUCGUAAUUUUUAAGAUGUACUUAAUCCCUGCAUCACACGCACAUUACGUUAUACUCGUAAUAGAAUAAGUUACAUAUUUAGUGGAACUAAUGUUAUGUAAUGGAAUAAACUUCACAAGUCAUUUACAACAAUUUAAUAUUAAGGAUUCUUUCUAGUUUUUGUGUCUCGUAGUAAAUAAAAUAAAAACUGAGGU